rnacentral:misc_RNA from 1 species
UCAGGCAGAGGAACACGGGUCAUGAUCCCGGCGUCGACGAGUUUCUUCAGGCGGGUACUGAGAAUGUUCGGAGCUAUUCCGAUAUAGUAUUGGAAUUCAUCGAAGNNNACGCCGUAAUAGGCCUCGCGCAGCAGCAGGAUCGACCACCGGUCUCCCACAGCUUCCAUGGCGCGAGCCACCGAACACUCCUUAUUGGCAUUACGGCUUCGCUUCAC